CUUAGUUGACUUACUUGCUUGUGUGGAUAGGUAUGAUAGUUUCCAGGUCAAUUCUUUGUAUUAGUACUUUUCGUCUUGUUUUUGCCCAUAGUUCAUAGUUCAAUUGCCGGGUUCGAGUUUCGUUUUCAUGCUCGACGGUGGACUCUUUCUAUCUUACAUCGCAGUCCAAGCCUUAUUGUAUCUGUUACAUGCCAAGCCUUGCUUCUCUUUCCUUAGCCUCGCUUCUAAGCUUUAGUAUACCAUAUCCCCAUCCCUGUCUACAAGCCACUACGGAACUCAAUGCCUAGUGUGUCUCUGCCUCUCCUCUUUAUUAAGGAUUCUACCUUGCCUAACCUUUCCUCAUUUUGGUGUUCGUGAGAUAGAAGAGGUAACUAACCAUGUGCUCCUUAAGUUCCUAUUUCAGAAUUGAGGUUCCUCGGCGCUAACGGUAGCUUCAUGAGCAAGUCCAGUAGCUAGUUUCAAGUCUACGACCAAUGUAAUAGUUAGAGAAUCCACAGUGCUUUUGAAGUCUACAAGAUCCGGAGCUGUACCGUACCAGAAGUCAAAGAAGGAUCAUCAUACAGAGAGGAAGCUUUUGAGUCGUCAGCUACAAGUGCUAAGGAAGCAGCAAUUCCAAUUGAAGUCAGAAAUGCAAUGCCAGUGGAGUUAUCCGAAUCUAAUCCAUUAUUUUUUGAUCGUAGGUGCGUUAGCUUACUUUACAACUUGACUUUCUCCGGGGUGGAUGCCUAUUGCCUAUCAAACAAAUGGAGCAAGGAGUCAGGAGCAUGA
rnacentral:lncRNA from 1 species